UACGAGGGGGGCAAGCGUUGUUCGGAAUUAUUGGGCGUAAAGGGUGCGUAGGCGGUUCCGCAAGUCCUGUGUGAAAUCUUCGGGCUCAACUGGGAGCUUGCAGGCGAAACUGCCGUGCUGGAGUGUGGGAGAGGUGCGUGGAAUUCCUGGUGUAGCGGUGAAAUGCGUAGAUAUCAGGAGGAACACCUGUGGCGAAAGCGGCGCACUGGACCACAACUGACGCUGAGGCGCGAAAGCUAGGGGAGCAAACAGG
rnacentral:rRNA from 1 species